AUUAUGUUGGUGUAUAUCUGGUUUAAUAUUAUUGUUGAAUGAUAUAAGUUUGUGUAGUUUACUAAUUAAGCCAAGUCUAUGUGCUGCUUAUAAAAGUAUUCAUGCGUUACUUUAAUAAAGUUUUAGUUGUAAAUACUAUUAUAUUCAGGACUUAAAAGUAAUGUUAAAUUAGUUUGUUAACGUGAAGUAAGUUUAGCUCAUGUACACACCGC
rnacentral:rRNA from 1 species